rnacentral:lncRNA from 1 species
CAGUAGGGGUUGGCUCUUGAAGAAACAUGUAGUCCAUGAACCAUUGUGGAAAAAAAUCAUGUAUCUUAGCAGAAGAUUGUUCCGGAGCUAUCUGUUCCGAAGUCAAAAAUAAAUCUAAGUAUAGGUGUAUAUAUGAAGAGAAGAGAAUGAGUAUUAUAUUUUUACUGUAAAGAAGAAUGAGUACUGAUUUUAUAGAGGGGAGGAAAAACUAGCUGUUUAAUGCUCUUAAGUUACUGGCGGAAA